rnacentral:sRNA from 1 species
GUUUAUCUUAUGGACUAACUGCUUCAAAAUAAUAUCUAUUUCUUAUAACCGGAGAAUCUAGAUUAGAUCUAUCUAGACUCUAGACUAUUGGCUAUAGGCCUGCAAGAACUUGACAGAUGUAUCUUACUCCCCUUUCAUCGCAAAUGUAAUGUUCCUUUAGACCGUUUAUUAGCUGAUUUGUCUUUCUUCAAGUGCUUUUCAUUGAACUAAUCUGAAUUUAUUUUCAAAAAUGACCACAACACCUAUGCAAGGCAUGCACUCAAUGUGGUAUGACCACUACAAAGGUGCAGUGUACCCUCUGGAUCUAGAAGGACCUCCUUACUGCAAGCAUAUUAGAA